rnacentral:rRNA from 1 species
AGUCGAACGAGGUGGCCCACAGAAUUUGAUAGAAACUUUGAGAGCUUGCUCGAGAAGUGGAAAGAGAAGGACGUGGAAUUUCCACCUAGUGGCAAACGGGUGAGUAACACGUGGGUUACCUACCUCUUAGAUGGGGAUACCAAUUGGAAACGAUUGUUAAUACCGAAUGUGAUCUACGGAUUAAAGGAAGCCUUUAAAGCUUCGCUAAGAGAUGGGCCUGCGGUGCAUUAGAUAGUUGGUGGGGUAAGAGCCUACCAAGUCAACGAUGCAUAGCUGAACUGAGAGGUUGAUCGGCCACACUGGGACUGAGACACGGCCCAGACUCCUACGGGAGACAGCAGUUAGGAAUAUUCGUCAAUGGGGGAAACCCUGAACGAGCAAUGCCGCGUGAACGAUGACGGUCCUCUGGAUUGUAAAGUUCUGUUGUUUGGGAAGAACGGCUCUAAUAGGAAAUGAUUAGAGAUUGACUGUACCAUUCAAGAAAGCCACGGCUAACUACGUGCCAGCAGCCGCGGUAAUACGUAGGUGGCGAGCGUUAUCCGGAUUUAUUGGGCGUAAAGCGUCCGCAGCCGGUUUAUUAAGUAUAGAAUAAAACUUCGGGGCUCAACCCCGUCUCGUUCUAUAAACUGAUAGACUAGAGUGUGGUAGAGGCAAGUGGAAUUUCUAGUGUAGCGGUAGAAUGCGUAGAUAUUAGAAGGAACACCAGUGGCGAAGGCGACUUGCUGGGCCAUCACUGACGGUCAGGGACGAAAGCGUGGGGAGCGAAUAGGAUUAGAUACCCUAGUAGUCCACGCCGUANACGAUGAGCACUAAGUGUCGGGCAANCGGUGCUGAAGUUAACACAUUAAGUGU